AAAAGAAACUAACAAGGAUUCCCCUAGUAACGGCGAGUGAAGCGGGAAGAGCUCAAAUUUGUAAUCUGGCGUCUUCGACGUCCGAGUUGUAAUCUCGAGAAGUGUUUUCCGCGCUAGACCGCAUACAAGUCUGUUGGAAUACAGCGUCAUGGUGGGUGAGAACCCCGUAACUGAUGCGGAUGCCUAGUGCUUUGUGAUACACUUUCGAAGAGUCGAGUUGUUUGGGAAUGCAGCUCAAAGUGGGUGGUAAAUUCCAUCUAAAGCUAAAUAUUGGCGAGAGACCGAUAGCGAACAAGUACCGUGAGGGAAAGAUGAAAAGCACUUUGGAAAGAGAGUUAACAGUACGUGAAAUUGUUGGAAGGGAAACGCUUGAAGUCAGACUUGCUUUUUGGAGUUCAGCCGUAAGGUGUAUUCUUCAGUUGGCAGGCCAGCAUCAGUUUUCGGGGGUGGAAAAGGGUUUGGAGAAGGUAGCAGUCUCGGCUGUGUUAUAGCUCCUUGCUGGAUUCACCCUUGGGGAUUGAGGAACGCAGCGCGCUUUUUGCAAGGCCUUCGGGCUUUU
rnacentral:rRNA from 1 species